rfam:Pediococcus cellicola strain DSM 17757 Scaffold4, whole genome shotgun sequence.
GGGGUCGUUAUGGAUUCGACAGGUAUAGGUUGAGUCUGGAUUGCGCUUCGUAGGUUACGUCUACGUAAAAACGUUCAGUUUAAAUUAUAACUGCAAAAAAUAAUAACAAUUCUUACGCUUUAGCUGCUUAAUAACAGCUUAACGUAGAUCUGCCUGGCAUCGUCCAUGUGUUAGAUACAGGUCUUAAAUUUAGUGGACUCACGCAAGGUACUCCCAUCUGAAGUGACUUGAAGAGACUAAUCAGAUUAGCUGGUCAAGAGAACCCUGACAUACGGUGUUUUGAUUAGUGAAAUUUAAAUAGUAUGCCUAUGAGCGUAGAUAUCUGGGUGGCAAUAUGCUUGGACGCGGGUUCGAUCCCCGCCGACUCCAUUA